rnacentral:rRNA from 1 species
CAGCAGGCGCGAAAACUCUACAAUGCAGGCAACUGCGAUAGGGGAACAUCGAGUGGCGUCCAUAUUGGAUGUCUGUCCUCCCGCCUAAAAAGCGGGAGUUAGCAAGGGCCGGGCAAGACCGGUGCCAGCCGCCGCGGUAAUACCGGCGGCUCGAGUGGUGGCCGAUAUUAUUGAGUCUAAAGGGUCCGUAGCCGGCUUUGCAAGUCUCUCGGGAAAUCCAGCGGCUUAACCGUUGGUCGUCCGGGGGGUACUACAUUGCUUGGGACUGGGAGAGGUAGGAGGUACUCAGGGGGUAGGAGUGAAAUCCUGUAAUCCUUUGGGGACCACCGGUGGCGAAGGCGUCCUACCAGAACAGGUCCGACGGUGAGGGACGAAAGCUAGGGGCACGAACCGGAUUAGAUACCCGGGUAGUCCUAGCCGUAAACGAUGCUCGCUAGGUGUCACAACAGUCGUGAACUGUUGUGGUGCCGUAGGGAAGCCGUGAAGCGAGCCACUUGGGAAGUACGACCGCAAGGUUGAAACUUAAAGGAAUUGGCGGGGGAGCAC